GUGAUCUAAAAUAGAAUAAUAUUAAGUCUCCACGAAGCCACGCGAGCUAAAUUUUUUUUUCUACUUUAGGAGGUAAUUUUAGUGUAGCAGUACUAAUACACUAUGAUAAUUUAGGGGUGAUAGGCCUUACAAGCCUGGCGAUAUCUUGAUUAUAAAGAAAUAUAUUUAGUAUGUAGACGAUCUAGUAAUGUUAAGGUUAUUAGAAAACAUUAUUUAGUAUAAAGCUUUGAUUGAAUAUGUAAAAAUUACAAUUUAAUUUUUCUUAACAUGCAACAUCUUAAAUAUAUGUAAAGUACUUAUACACUUAAUAUAAUAAAUUUGAGAAGUUGAAAAUGAUUUCAUUAGUAUUUUUAUAUAUUUGAUUUAGGAACUCGGCAAAACGAUAUUCUCGACUGUUUAACAAAAACAUGCCUUAGGUUAGUAUAUAAGGUUUACCCUGCUCAAUGAUAUGAUUAAAUAGCCGCAGUACCUUGACUGUGCAAAGGUAGCAUAAUCAGUUGGCUUAUAAUUGAAGUCUAGUAUGAAUGGGAAUUAGGGAAUAAGCUGUCUUAAUAUAAAUAAUUAGAAUUUCCUUAUUAAGUGAAAAUUCUUAAGGAAAGAAAUUAGACGAGAAGACCCUAGAAAUUUUUUAUAUUAGUAAUAAUAAAUAUUUUGUUGGGGCGACAGGGUAACAAAGUCUAACUUACCAAGACUUAUAGGAAACUAUUUAGUUGAAUAAAUAUAAUUACUCUAGGGAUAACAGCAUUAUUUAAUAUAAGAUUGUGACCUCGAUGUUGGACUAGGGAACACCUUACUUAAAAGGUAAAGUAGUGAGCUCUGUUCGAGCUGAAUCCCCUACAUGAUCUGAGUUCAGACCGG
rnacentral:rRNA from 1 species